UGGGGGGUCGGCUAAUCGGCAAGCCACCGGGCUGUCACCUCGGGAGAUGCGGGUUCGAGUCCCGCUCCCCCAGCCA
rnacentral:tRNA from 1 species